AAAGGGAGCGUAGGCGGUUUGAAACGUUUGGUGUGAAAGUCCUGGGCUUAACCUGGGGACGGCAUUGAAAACGGUCAGACUAGAGGUAUAGAGGGGAAUAUGGAAUUGCGUGUGUAGAGGUGAAAUUCGUAGAUAUACGCAAGAACACCGAUGGCGAAGGCAGUAUUCUGGCUAUAACCUGACGCUAAGGCUCGAAAGCGUGGGGAGCAAACAGGAUUAGAUACCCGAGU
rnacentral:rRNA from 1 species